rnacentral:rRNA from 1 species
CAGUCGUACCUUCGGGUAAUCAGCCUUUCGGGUGCGAUUCUGUGGAGUGUGAGGAGCUUAACACCUUCAUGCUUUGCAUAUUUGUGCUCUUGGGUGUACUUGCUCGUGUGGUUGGUUAACAUCAAUUUUGAUUAUCAUAAAAUGACUGGAGGAAUGUAGCUUCGAUCUCGUAUUGAAGUGUUAUAGCCUUCGGUAGAUGUGAUGAUCGAGAUUGAGGAUUGCAACGGAUACCCUUCGGGGCUACCUGUCUGGUCUCUGAUCGUUGCUCUGGUGCCGAAAGCGUGCUUACGGUUAUCAAAGUCGAUGGUCAAUAGGUUAGAACGGGUUAAA